GCGAUGGUGGUAUAGUGGUUAGCAUAGUUGCCUUCCAAGCAAUAGACCCGAGUUCGAUUCUCGCUCAUCGCA
rnacentral:tRNA from 1 species